CAGUCGCCACGGUAAUACGUAGGUGGCAAGCGUUGUCCGGAAUUAUUGGGCGUAAAGGGCUCGCAGGCGGUUUCUUAAGUCUGAUGUGAAAGCCCCCGGCUCAACCGGGGAGGGUCAUUGGAAACUGGGAAACUUGAGUGCAGAAGAGGAGAGUGGAAUUCCACGUGUAGCGGUGAAAUGCGUAGAGAUGUGGAGGAACACCAGUGGCGAAGGCGACUCUCUGGUCUGUAACUGACGCUGAGGAGCGAAAGCGUGGGGAGCGAACAGGAUUAGAUACCCCGUGUAGUCCCUGUCUCUUAUA
rnacentral:rRNA from 1 species